CAGGUACUCCCUCCGUUCCGAAUUACUUGUCGCACGUAUGGAUGUAUCUAGAUGUAUUUAAAUUCUAGAUACAUCCAUUUCAGCGACGAGUAAUUUGGAACGGAGAGAGUAGCUC
rnacentral:pre_miRNA from 1 species